rnacentral:rRNA from 1 species
UACAGAGGGUGCAAGCGUUAAUCGGAUUUACUGGGCGUAAAGCGUGCGUAGGCGGUUCAUUAAGUCGGUUGUGAAAUCCCUGGGCUUAACCUGGGAACUGCAGUCGAUACUGGUGGACUAGAAUGCGGUAGAGGGUGGCGGAACUCCGGGUGUAGCGGUGAAAUGCGUAGAUAUCCGGAAGAACACCGAUGGCGAAGGCAACCACCUGGGCCUGCAUUGACGCUGAGGUACGAAAGCGUGGGGAGCAACAG